rnacentral:rRNA from 1 species
CUAUCCGCCUGGGGACUACGAGCUUAAGCUUAAAACCCAAAGGACUUGGCGGUGCUUUAGAUCCCCCUAGAGGAGCCUGUUCUGGAACCGAUAAUCCCCGUUAAACCUCACCUUUUCUUGUUCUCCCCGCCUAUAUACCGCCGUCGUCAGCUUACCCUGUGAAGGGACAACAGUUAGCAGAAUUGGCACAGCCCAAAACGUCAGGUCGAGGUGUAGCGUACGGAAAGGGAAGAAAUGGGCUACAUUUUCUAGAUAGAAAAUACGGAUGAUAUACUGAAAUACAUAUCUGAAGGAGGAUUUAGUAGUAAGAAGAGA